rnacentral:rRNA from 1 species
GAACGAACGCUAGCGGCGUGGAUAAAGACAUGCAAGUCGAACGAGGAAUUACCUAGCUUGCUUUGUAAUUCUUAGUGGCGGACGGGGGAGUAACACGUGAGAAUGUGCCCUGCAGCGGGGGAUAGCCCACCGAAAGGUGGGAUCCAGCAGGACAUCCUGCAAGGAUUAAAGGUGGCUUCGGCUGCCGUUUUCGGAUGGACUCGCGGCCUAUCAGCUUGUUGGUGAGGUAAUAGCUCACCAAGGCUACGACGGGUAACUGGUCUGAGAGGAUGAUCAGUCACGCUGGAACUGAGACACGGUCCAGACACCUACGGGUGGCAGCAGUCGAGAAUCAUUCACAAUGGGCGAAAGCCUGAUGGUGCGACGCCGCGUGGAGGAUGACGGUUCUAGGACUGUAAACUCCUGUCAUCAGAGAGUACGGUUUUGCGGUUAAUAACCGUGGGGCUUGAUAGUAUCUGAAGAGGAAGGGACGGCUAACUUCGUGCCAGCAGCCGCGGUAAUACGAAGGUCCCAAGCGUUGUUCGGAAUUACUGGGCGUAAAGAGUGCGUAGGCGGCUAGGUAAGUCAGAUGUGAAAUCCCGGGGCUCAACCUCGGAACUGCAUCCGAUACUACCUGGCUAGAGUAGUGGAGGGGCAUCUGGAAUUCUCGGUGUAGCAGUGAAAUGCGUAGAUAUCGAGAGGAACACUAGUGGCGAAGGCGAGAUGCUGGACACUUACUGACGCUGAGGCACGAAGGCCAGGGUAGCGAAAGGGAUUAUAUACCCCUGUAGUCCUGGCAGUAAACGGUGCACGCUUGGUGUGGGAGGAUUCGACCCCUUCCGUGCCGGAGCUAAACGCGUUAAACGUGCCGCCUGGGGAGUACGGCCGCAAGGCUAAAACUCAAAGAAAUUGACGGGGACCCGCACAAGCGGCGGAGUAUGUGGCUUAAUUCGAUGCAACGCGAAGAACCUUACCUAGGCUUGACAUGCAUUGCUAAUCUGCCGAAAGGCAGUGAGUCUUCGGACGCCUUGCACAGGUGCUGCAUGGCUGUCGUCAGCUCGUGUCGUGAGAUGUUUGGUUAAGUCCAGCAACGAGCGCAACCCCUGUGAAUAGUUGCCAGCACGUAAUGGCGGGGACUCUAUUCACACUGCCCAGAUCAACUGGGAGGAAGGUGGGGACGACGUCAAGUCAGUAUGGCCCUUACGCCUAGGGCUGCACACGUACUACAAUGCCCAGUACAAUGUGAACCGAUACCGCGAGGUGGAGGAAAUCCAAAAAACUGGGACCAGUUCGGAUUGGAGGCUGCAACUCGCCUCCAUGAAGUUGGAAUCGCUAGUAAUGGCACAUCAGCUACGGUGCCGUGAAUACGUUCCCGGGUCUUGUACACACCGCCCGUCACAUCAUGGAAGCCGGUCGCACCCGAAGUACCUGCGCUUCCUAAGGUGAAGCUGGUAACUGGGAU